rnacentral:rRNA from 1 species
CAGUCGCCGCGGGAAUACAGAGGGUGCGAGCGUUAAUCGGAUUUACUGGGCGUAAAGCGUGCGUAGGCGGCUAAUUGAGUCGGAUGUGAAAUCCCCGAGCUUAACUUGGGAAUUGCAUUCGAUACUGGUUAGCUAGAGUGUGUGAGAGGAUGGUAGAAUUCCAGGUGUAGCGGUGAAAUGCGUAGAGAUCUGGAGGAAUACCGAUGGCGAAGGCAGCCAUCUGGCCUAACACUGACGCUGAGGUACGAAAGCAUGGGGAGCAAACAGGAUUAGAUACCCCUGUAGUCCCUGUCUCUUAUAC